rnacentral:rRNA from 1 species
UUAAAUUGAAGAGUUUGAUCAUGGCUCAGAUUGAACGCUGGCGGCAGGCCUAACACAUGCAAGUCGAACGGUAGCACAGAGAGCUUGCUCUCGGGUGACGAGUGGCGGACGGGUGAGUAAUGUCUGGGAAACUGCCUGAUGGAGGGGGAUAACUACUGGAAACGGUAGCUAAUACAGCAUAACGUAGCAAGACCAAAGAGGGGGACCUUCGGGCCUCUUGCCAUCAGAUGUGCCCAGAUGGGAUUAGCUAGUAGGUGGGGUAACGGCUCACAUAGGCGACGAUCCCUAGCUGGUCUGAGAGGAUGACCAGCCACACUGGAACUGAGACACGGUCCAGACUCCUACGGGAGGCAGCAGUGGGGAAUAUUGC